GUCCCCCUGCGCCUGGAUAAAGGCGCCCGUUACCGGUCCUCGAUCGCAGAGUUCGCCUCGCGCCCUCAGGGGAGUCCCCUCGCUCCGCGUCCCACAGCUUCAGCCAGGCUGCACAUCCCGCCCGGGACGGCUGCGAGCGAGCGCAGCAGGAAGGCAGCUGACACCAAACUGACAACUGAGCAGAACUGCUGUCACCCUGAAAGUGAUACAGAAAAACGACAACCCCUGCUGCUUCGAGCUGACCUCCUUCCCCGAUACAUCACAACUGGAAACUGAUCACUGAGGGAGAGUGCAAGUGAGAAACUGUGUGCAAGUGAAAAUGGCAGUGCCAUGAAUCAGAGAGCAGUCUGGAUUGCUUUAUGGUAAGCCAGCGGUGGAAAAAGAGAAUUGCCCCAAGCAGUUUGAUUUAGUCUGUAAAGAAUGGGAUGGCUGAAAGGGAUGAAGCUGUUAAAUAAGAAUACAGGCCUGGUGUUUUCUAUCAUCUGAUUCUUACAAAUAUUGCAGCAGUCCUUUGCUAGAACCUCCCAAGGAACCAAAUCUGUGUUUUACCAGAAUAAUAGCAUCAGUUCUGAGCCUGUCUUCUAAGUUUUGGGGAGGAAGGGAGUGGAGAGCUGGGGAAGGAACGUGGGUAGAACUUUGCAUCAGGCUCCAGUCCAGUCAUAGAGACCUCGCUGCAUCUUUGAUGCAGAGCCUUCUUGCACUCAGCUGGAGAAAAGUCUGUGCACUGAAGGCAGGACUGAUGUGUUGCAUCCAGAUUUCAAGCAGUGGUAAUCAGAUAAUGAGAAGGGAGAGAAUAUUCACCCUACAAAUUCAUUGCAAUGAGCACUGCAAACAUCUGAAUUUUUUUUUUUUUUUCCUUCUCAAGUCAUUUGAUUAUAAACCAACAAUUACAAAAACAUUCCUUCCAGCUAAUUUACUUCAUGGAUAAACUGGCAGCUAAGUGAAGCAUGUAACAUGCCUGUUCUCAAAGUAAUCAGAAAACAGCAGGUCAAUAAUGGAACAUUUAGCAACUAUCACUCUGGGGCCUUGACACAUCGCAGAUGAAAUGAUUGAAAUGAUUCUAUUUGCCUCAGUCAUUUGCUGUAGAAGAAUUAAUGUCAUUUUGAUAAAUCAUCAAAGGAAUUACUGUCUCCUGUUUUCUGUUCCAUAACUGUUUUUCAUAAAUAUUCUGAAUGUAUGUCCUAUUCUUAACUCAAUUUGAACCACUGGCAGGUUGAAAGAAGUCUCCUCCUCCGUGCAGAGAGUAAAACAUGCCAUUUGAAGUCUCCAUCUUGCUUUAUAUACUUACAAAUGUGAUACCAAUAGUUGUCAAAGAUUAUGUAUUUUUUUCUCCCUCUUCUCUCCUUCCUCUCUUUGUCCAGAAUCUCAACUGUCACUUGAAUUGGUCAAAUGCUGCUUAUUGCUGAACAACAUCCCGACGCAGGUUCUGAAACGUGGCUCUAUGCAAUCCUUUUUCAUUUGGUUUGCAAUACAGAUGAGUUUUCUUUCUAGGUAAUCAUUUCUAAUCUAGCUGGACAACCUCAGAGAAGAGUAAGCGUCUCCUGAGAGCCGUUCUUCACAUGUCUAAAAACAGAAUACUUCACGCAUUUGUAAAAAGAUACACAUUUGUAAAUGCUGCAACAAAUUGGCACAUAAGGGUUUGUUGAGAGCUGCAGGGCAUCUUUUCUCCAUCUUCCAAAUGGAAAAGGUUCCAGCCUGAAACCAGCAAAGGAAUUCUUCCUAAACGCCAGCAGCAGGAAACACCCACUCCCCAAAGCACGUGCACUCCACAGCAGGCACUCGCCAGUACCCAGGGAAACUUUCCCCAUCACUCAGAGUCCCUAGGUUACUCCUACAGGGCUUCCUUCCAGCUGUACCUCAAAUACAGCAUCCCAAAUUCAUAAGCUUACCAUCAGCUUAAUUACAACAUUAAACGAACUUGUAAGUAAAAAUUAAACAUUUGUUUUAGCAAGCUGUCUCACCAGGUUUCUAAUUGCAAGAUCAAAACCAGAGAAAUUUAAAUGGAAGUUUAAGAGCCAGACAAGAAGUAGACUAUCUCCCUUUCAGUCCUUAAGCAAUGCCCCAGCCACUACAACAACUGUUUGAACACGAAGGCACUAUCUCAUUCUCUAAAUUCAUUCAAAUCUGAAUGAAUUCCUUUGGCUUCAGCUUCAAAAGCAUUUUUCCUACUUCCUCCUCUCUUUCAAUAGCAGCAGGAAGCUUGCAAGGAUUAGCUCAAGGUUUGAUGCAGCAUUUCUUGGGACGUAACCCAUGUCUCACCUUCCUGAUAACAAGUCUUUUGUACUGCAGUUUUAAUGAGAUCCUCCUCCUCAAACAGCAUGGUAUACAUUUUAAAACGCUUUCCUGGCAUUACAAUAUUUCACAUAUUGCACAACAGAUAGCAUCACUUGUACAAUCAUUCUGUAAAGCUCAUUAUCUUUGGUAUGUCAUUUACAUUACAUAUUAUUAAUACAGCUGUCAAGACCCGAUUGUCGGCCAGGCAGUCAUAUCUUGCUGUUUGCUGCCAGAUUUAGAUAUUUGCUGUGGAACAGACACCAGUCUUUAAAGUGGAUGCCACUAAAACUAGACCCAGAUUUUAGAGUACAAACACGACAAACACCAACUCCCAUUUCUGUUGUCAUGCAUCCAAUCACUCCUGAUUUUUCACACUACCAUUUCAGAGAGCAGUAUUCCAGAAAUCAUUCUCAGUGCUCCCUGAACCUUUUUUCCUAUGAGAUCUUGCAAUUUCAGGUCUCUGAGAAGGUCAUAUUUAUGAAAGCUGCACUAUUUUGCAGGCAAAACAGAUUAGCCUGUUUUGAACCACAAAAUUCUACUGUAUGUGUUUGAACCCAAUUUCUCAACAGCCUUUGUGUUUUACAGUUCAUAGAGCUCAAACCCUUCAGCAAGCUGCAGUCUGCCAUUCACAUCCUCUUCUAACGCACAUGGAAAUAACACUACUGAGCCUUUAAGAUCCUUGCUCUUCAUUUAGAGUGGAGAUUCAGAUAUCAAGGUUUUAACGUUGCACAAACACUUUGAACACUGCAGAGCUAACGAAAACAAAUGGAUUAUAUUUUAUCCGUAACCAGAAACUCAAUCUAAAUCAAGGCAGCAGUUUCUGAAGUGUCCUUUCACCUGGAAUUUCUUCACCAUCUCCUCCUCAUCUUCCAAAGGCUGUUGAAAACUCACGGUGAACUCUGUGGGACCCAGAAUUCCCCUCCCAUACCAACAUGAUGCCAAACAGUGAAGCCACACACACACACGGAUUCAGGACAGUUUCAGAUUCACAGAAACAGGAAUUUCAGCUCUUACCAUGGAAAGAUGUGGACUCUAAGCACUUAGAAAAAGAAGUUUGAGAAGAGUGAUUUGGCGAUAUCAUUAAAAUAAACUUGAGCACUUAUCUUUUUUUGUUUUGUUUUGUUAUAUAGACUCACAAAUUAUUUAGGAAGCCAAAACCCAGGAGCUGCAAUCACAGUAAAAUAAAUUAUCGCGCUGGCAAUUAACUUUUUUUUUUCCUCUAGUAUAUCUGCAUCUACACUAGAGCUUUUUCCUCCAGAGAAAUGUAACAAAAAGUACAUUUCUAAACUUUCAUUAGCAAAGACUUUUAGAGUAAGAUUGUGCUUUCCCAUGCAUUUUCUGUUUUGAGAUUUCACUCGUAUUUAAGUCCCUUCCACCUUCUUGAACAUACCAUAGUUCUUACAAGAAACUGUCUUUGGACCUGUCCAAUUUUAUCCAUUGGAUCCAUCUCUCCUCCAAAGUAAUUUAUUUAAGGACAUACACUCUAAUCACAUCUACCACAUCAAUCACUUGAACACAAUGGGCAACUCGUUAAUGGCUGAGCUACUACACACACAGAGCUGCCAGGUACACAAAGCUGCAGCGUAGGCAAAAGCCUGGUAACAGCCUGACCUCAGAAAUCUCUCUGAAAUUCUCAUGGUUAUUACAGUUAUAAAACAGCAAUCCUACUGUGUACUUUACAAGCUCAAAAACCCCAAAUCGAAAGAGUAAUUAGCUAAAAUUAGAAAAAACAGUCCAAAUAUAUAGAACAACUUAUCAACAAGAUGGUCUUGUGAAAGAAAACAAUGGGGAAUAGGACAGGGGUGCUCCCUCACAUGCACACACAGCAGCGAAGCAAACAACCUGCACCAGCACAGCGCCUUUCUGCUGGUAAAGCCAAAGCACUAGGAAUGCCCCAAGUUUACAAGCAGUUACUUCAGGGUAAAAGGCUGCCCUAGGGGAAGGAUGAUAACGCCGUGGAUCUGUUUUCUUGUCCUCUCUGCUACUUGGGGAAUUUCAGUGGAUUUCUUUUUCAUUAUUUUUCCUAAAAUACAUUAACAUCUCACGGUCAAGAACAUAAUCCACUCUUACAACCUGUUAGAACUAAAAAGAAGAAAAAGCAAAGAAGAAAAACAAAGAUACUGCUGUCAUAAACCUAGUGCCAUACGGCUCGAGCCAAUUACUUGUGCAAACGUGACCCACGUAACAGCUGACAAUCAGGAAAGCUCUGGGUAAGUGCUAGUGAUGCAACUCAGGGCUGCCCAGAAAUCCCACCUGUGCACGUUUCUUCCUCUCCUUUCUCCCCAUAAUUGGAGACUAUUGUUUUUUCUCUUUAUAUCCUACAUAAUUUAGGAGGAUCUUCUGUAUAAAUUACUGUACAGAAACACUCCUAAGACAUUCACUAGAACAGUAAUGUAGAAUAAUACUAUUUGAACUACUGGAUACUGGGUCCUAUUCCCUGCCUGUAUCUUCAGCUUCCUGAUCUCUGGCACCUCUUUCAGACAAAUGUCCCCAUUCAAUAGAUGAGCCCUAAAAACAUUUUUCUUGCUAAUCUUGUUAUCAUCUUCCUCGGUCUCUACUGAAUCUUUUUCUUCUCUAUCUCAUCACAUUUAAACACUCUGUCCUAAUCUUCAAGGCUCUGAAGAGCUGUCAACUUCAAACACACACUUUAACAAGUUCAUGAAAAAUUGCCUUCUCUGCUUCACUAAUAACAAAUGAAUGCACUGGUACACAGCCAAGGCAAAGUCUAUAGACAGAGCAAGCACUUUCAUUGGACGAGCCGGUAGUGAUGGAAAAAGGAGAACUUCCAGGCAUGUGAAGCUGUUCUUCAGUCCUGAAAUCAAAGCAACGUUCUUCAAAGCUGAACACAAGUUGAGAAAAAAUGCUCUGCUUUUAAUUAGAUAUGUAUGAAUUAGACCACCUGUGAGCAAAGGCACUGCCUGCGGAGUGAUAAGGAUGGCAGAAAAGAGGAGAGGUGAUAAGGUGCUUAUCUUCUAAUGGAGAGAAAGAGAUCAGGAAUUUGUAGCCUGUGGAACAUGAAAAGGUUAGUUGAGGAAAGGGGGAGAGCAAUUACAGCUUGCCAUAAAACCAGAAUCACUACUGAGAUCUCUGAUCAGAUUUCUGCUAUUUCUGACUUUUAGUUGCCACAGACAUCUCUGGAAAGUGUUUCAUAAUUGCACGUGACAUCGCAUGCUUAGAUUUCCUACUUCCACGCACUCUUUGCUCUCAGCUGAACGCAAAUAUCUCAGUUUCUGUGGGAAAUACAUUUGCCUGGAUGUUUCUGAGCCAGUGUGUUCAUGCUGGCAAUGGAUGAUAGUGCUGUACUAAGGCAUUCAUUUGCUCCAGUAUCACAAAUCAGAGAAAGCCACACGCAACAACAUGUUUAGCUAAUAGAGACUGAUGUUAUUUCAUGGAUCCACGCUACCACGGACUGCAAGCAGAACAGCACACCACCAAGGCUGUAAAGCACUCUGCUCAGCACGUGGCUAAGGAUGGCUGAGCUGCACGCCUGCUGCACGGUUCUGAAGAUAAUCUGCAGAACCACAGCGAAAUAACUUAACAGACACUGCACAGUCAGUGCUUACAGAAAGUUCUACUUCUCUGAUGACACUCAGAAUUGCAUACGUUCCGGUGUUAACUUAAAUAAAAGGAGAUUUCUGAGAUAGAACAGAACAGAAUUUUGCCUCAUCCAAGUGCUUCCCAGCUCAGCGCUUUUACCACAAGACACACCUGUAAAGUUUUUCAAUUCUCAACAGUAAUUACUUAAGUUGAAGUGGUUUCUCUUAUCACACUGACUAUAAAUCCUUCAUAUUAUUAUUAUUAGACAUCACUGUCCUUUGAAAUGGGCAAUGCCUAAUGCAUUCUCAGGUUAAUGCAGAGCCCUCACACGCGGGCAAUUGUAACAGUGGCUGAUAAAGCACCAACACUGUGCUUUCUGAUCCACAUGCUUGUGUAGAUGAUUCAUAGCUAUUAAGAAUAAUUUAAGAAAGUCUUUUCCACGACACAAGCUGCAGGUUCUGACAGGGUGAUUUGUCUUCCUUGCUAUUAACAUUCCUCGAUUGGUUUUAACUAGCACAGAUGCACAUACACUGCGUUACCAUUUGACGUUCCACGUACUGGCGGACCUGCACUGCUCCCACCAGGUCUACUUUUUGAAUUCAUUCUUCUUUUCAACUUCCAGUUUCCCUCCCAGACUUCUGGCUUGGAGAGGUAUCACUUUGCAAGGCGAAGAAGUGAACGUCUUGCCUUACAGUGUGUGCUAACCGCUACCUCAAGGCUUUCCUGAAGGACACUGCUAUGGAAGGAAAUGGGUCAGACAACCACUGCAGC